rnacentral:rRNA from 1 species
ACGGAGGGGGCUAGCGUUGUCCGGAAUGAUUGGGCGUAAAGCGUCCGCAGGUGGCACUUCAAGUCUGCUGUCAAAUCACCCAGCUUAACUGGGUAAAGGCAGUGGAAACUGGGGAGCUAGAGAGCAAUAGGGGUAGAGGGAAUUCCCGGUGUAGCGGUGAAAUGCGUAGAGAUCGGGAAGAACACCAGUGGCGAAAGCGCUCUACUAGGUUGCAUCUGACACUGAGGGACGAAAGCUAGGGGAGCGAAUGGGA